UACGUAGGGGGCAAGCGUUGUCCGGAAUUACUGGGCGUAAAGGGCGCGUAGGCGGUCCGAUAAGUCCUGUGUGAAAUCCCUCGGCUCAACUGAGGAACUGCACGGGAGACUGUCGGGCUUGAGUUCGGGAGAGGGAAGCGGAAUUCCGGGUGUAGCGGUGAAAUGCGUAGAUAUCUGGAGGAACACCGGUGGCGAAGGCGGCAUCCUGGACCGGCAUUGACGCUGAGGCGCGAAAGCCAGGGGAGCAAACGGG
rnacentral:rRNA from 1 species